rnacentral:rRNA from 1 species
AUACGGAGGAUCCGAGCGUUAUCCGGAUUUAUUGGGUUUAAAGGGUGCGCAGGCGGCCAUUUAAGUCAGCGGUUAAAUCGUGGGGCUCAACCCCAUUCUGCCGUUGAUACUGGGUGGCUUGAUUGCGGUCGAGGUUGGCGGAAUUCGUUGUGUAGCGGUGAAAUGCAUAGAUAUGACGAAGAACACCGAUUGCGUAGGCAGCUGACCAGACCGCAAAUGACGCUCAUGCACGAAAGUGCGGGGAUCGAACGGGAUUAGAUACCCUGGUAGUCCGCACAGUAAACGAUGAAUACUUGUUUUCGGCGAUAUAAUGUCGGAGGCAAAGCGAAAGCGAUAAGUAUUCCACCUGGGGAGUACGCCGGCAACGGUGAAACUCAAAUGAAUUGACGGGG